rnacentral:rRNA from 1 species
AUUGAACGCUGGCGGCAGGCCUAACACAUGCAAGUCGAGCGGAUGAAGGGAGCUUGCUCCUGGAUUCAGCGGCGGACGGGUGAGUAAUGCCUAGGAAUCUGCCUGGUAGUGGGGGAUAACGUCCGGAAACGGGCGCUAAUACCGCAUACGUCCUGAGGGAGAAAGUGGGGGAUCUUCGGACCUCACGCUAUCAGAUGAGCCUAGGUCGGAUUAGCUAGUUGGUGGGGUAAAGGCCUACCAAGGCGACGAUCCGUAACUGGUCUGAGAGGAUGAUCAGUCACACUGGAACUGAGACACGGUCCAGACUCCUACGGGAGGCAGCAGUGGGGAAUAUUGGACAAUGGGCGAAAGCCUGAUCCAGCCAUGCCGCGGGUGUGAAGAAGGUCUUCGGAUUGUAAAGCACGUUAAGUUGGGAGGAAGGGCAGUAAGUUAAUACCUUGCUGUUUUGACGUUACCAACAGAAUAAGCACCGGCUAACUUCGUGC